rnacentral:RNase_P_RNA from 1 species
CGAGUGAUGCAGGUUAUCGCUUGCUUAGUUCGUAUACUGAGUUACCUGAUUCCUAUAGUCGACUUAGUUAUGCGAGCACUCAUAGGCAAGAGGAAAGUCUGGACUGCACAUGGCAGGAUACUGGGUAAUCCCCAGGCAGGGCGACCUGACGGAAAGUGCAACAGAAAGUAAACCGCCUGUGGUCAUGAUCACGGGUAAGGCUGAAACGGUGAGGUAAGAGCUCACCAGCAACACGGUGACGUGUUGGCUAGGUAAACCCUAUCUGCAGCAAGAUCAAAUGUAGGUGUGCUAAUGAAAUACUUAGCAGGUAUGAGCCAGGUACCGACCUAAGGUAGAUCGCAUGAGUGUUCAGGUAACUGAACACCUAGAUAAAUGAUAGCCUCCAUCUUAUGAUGUAGACAGAAUCCAGCUUAUCGCAUCACUCGCAAA